AUUGAACGCUGGCGGCAUGCUUUACACAUGCAAGUCGAACGGUAACAGGCCUUCGGGUGCUGACGAGUGGCGAACGGGUGAGUAAUGCAUCGGAACGUGCCCAGAGGUGGGGGAUAACGCAGCGAAAGCUGUGCUAAUACCGCAUGUGAUCUGAGGAUGAAAGCGGGGGACCAGGCAGCAAUGUUUGGCCUCGCGCCUUUGGAGCGGCCGAUGUCAGAUUAGGUAGUUGGUGGGGUAAAGGCCUACCAAGCCGACGACCUGUAGCUGGUCUGAGAGGACGACCAGCCACACUGGGACUGAGACACGGCCCAGACUCCUACGGGAGGCAGCAGUGGGGAAUUUUGGACAAUGGGCGCAAGCCUGAUCCAGCAAUGCCGCGUGCGGGAAGAAGGCCUUCGGGUUGUAAACCGCUUUUGUACGGAACGAAAAGGCUCUGGCUAAUACCUGGGGCUGAUGACGGUACCGUAAGAAUAAGCACCGGCUAACUACGUG
rnacentral:rRNA from 1 species